UGAUAAUUCAUUCUGUUCUGGCCAGUGAGAGAGCUAUGGCGUCUCAUGAAAAUCCUGAAAUAAAUAAAAGCAAGGAGACGGGUUUGGCAAUCCCAAGAGAUUUUUUUCCAGGGCCUGCUACGCCUGAUGUUGGAACCAAUAGAGGGAGGAAUUCUCACUUAUAUCGGACUCGUAAUGCUCGACAUAAGGCCCUUGCAUCUGGGUCUGCUGACACUCUAAAGGACCACUUAAAGUCAUCUGCAGCUGAUGGUAAGCUGCAGCAGUGGUUCCAUGAAGGCCAUGCUGGGCCAAUGUUGAGUUCUGGCAUGUGCAGAGAAGUGUUCCAGUUUGAUGCCUUACAAGCUCCAGGAGCUAUUAUUUCUGCUUCGUCAGUCACCAAUAUUACAGCAGCUCAGCGCCAGCGGAAUGCUACACAGCACAACAAGGGGAAAAACAGAAGGAUUCU
rnacentral:misc_RNA from 1 species